GCUUCCUUAGCUCAGUUGGUAGCGCGUCAGUCUCAUAAUCUGAAGGUCGUGAAUUCCUCACCGGGAGCA